CCUACGGGCGGCAGCAGUGGGGAAUAUUGCGCAAUGUGCGAAAGCCUGACGCAGCGACGCCGCGUGAGGGAUGAAGGUCUUCGGAUCGUAAACCUCUGUCAGCAGGGAAGAACGGUCACUGUGCUAAUCAGCAGUGAAUUGACGGUACCUGCAAAGGAAGCACCGGCUAACUCCGUGCCAGCAGCCGCGGCAAUACGGAGGGUGCGAGCGUUAAUCGGAAUUACUGGGCGUAAAGCGCUCGUAGGCGGUAUGUCAAGUCAAGGGGGAAAUCCCCGCGCUCAACGUGGGAACUGCCUUUGAAACUGGCAAACUGGAGUGUGUGAGAGGAUAGUGGAAUUCCAGGUGUAGGAGUGAAAUCCGUAGAUAUCUGGAGGAACAUCAGUGGCGAAGGCGACUAUCUGGCACAUAACUGACGCUGAGGAGCGAAAGCGUGGGUAGCAAACAGGAUUAGAUACCCUAGUAGUC
rnacentral:rRNA from 1 species